rnacentral:misc_RNA from 1 species
CCGUAACGCGGCGGUCCGGCAACCGCAAGGAAGUCAGCCGCCACACGCGUUUAUCACCCUUGACUUUGAGCACCUUUCGUUUCCUCGGCGGGUUCGCCCGCCAGCGAGGACCCCCCACAAACCCUUUGUAAUAGCAAUAUUCGUCUGAAAACAAACCAAUAAUCA